rnacentral:tRNA from 2 species
GCCCGCUUAGCUCAGCGGUAGAGCGUUGGUCUCAUAUGAUUCAUAUGAUUUAGCCCCAGGCUAGAGAUAUCCAAAGGUCGAGAGUUCGAGACUCCCAGCAGGCA